UUGGUGACAGAAAACNGGCUAAGCCCUUGUG
rnacentral:piRNA from 1 species